CUUGCUAUGGGAAUGACAAGACGAAAAUAGAUGUCCCCUAGAUUUUUCCUGAAGAUUGUCUGAUAUCAGUGUGUCUGGCGUCCUUCACCCCCACCCUCCCAAAGGGGAGGCUCCAGCAAUUAUGAGGGAAGAAAUCUGUGACAGGUACUGAACACAACCAUAAAUGGACUGCAUUUGAAAAUAAAAACUGAAAACGGCUGCAAGGAUGUUUAAGAGGACAUGCAGAGGAUGUCAACUAAAAAAACAAUGUUGGUAUUGUUCAUUCCACAAAUCUUGUUGUUUUGAAAGUAUCCAGAUGGAAUUUAGCUCACUGAGCCAUAGGACAUCAACUGCAUCAAAUUCAUUUGGAAAACCAACCAGUGCCACACAAUGCUAGCAUACAGCAGAGAAACAAAACAAGCAGACAGACAAGUAAAUAAAUAAUCAGUCAUGAUUGUAUUAUCUGUAAGCACUUGGGAAAGGAAUUAUUAAACUUCACAUUUCUGCCUUUCUUA